rnacentral:misc_RNA from 1 species
UGACGAAGUGAUGACGUUUCGCAACUGUAUGCAACUUCAGGCUUCAGCUGAGUUCAGUGCGGUAUUGGUGCAUGUAAAUUGACGGUAUUGAAGCAGUAUUCACUGCUCGCCUGUUAUCAUUUUUAUUAGUACGGGUUUCGGUCUGAGCGGUUGCUGGUGACUUCGGAGUUCGGCAUAUCGUAUUUACGUGUCACUCAAAUACAUAGACGAAAACCAACGCUGCCGCUUCUGGUGAGAUUGAUCCAAAAUGAACUUGUUGUAUACAUUUUUGUUGUGUGACCUCGCCGUUUCUGUUUUAUUUGUGCAAAGUGCAGUUUUGCCGGAUGACGAGGUUGAGGAACAGGGAUUGUAUAAAAAAUCCGAUCUAGUUGACAUCUUGACUAACCGUAAUUUGGAGCGAAAAAUCUACGGACAAAAACAUGCAUUGUUAGUGCAAUUUUACAAUAGUUUCUGCGGCCACUGCCGAGCGUUCAUGCCCAAAUAUAAAACACUCGCUUCGGAAAUGGUUCACUGGAGAAACGUCAUAAGGCCGGCUGUAAUGGAUUGUUCGGUCGAGGAAAACAGUGAAAUAUGUCGACAGUUCGAAGUAAUGGCGUACCCCUCGCUGCGAUACCUGCACGAGAACUACGUUAAAGGCAACUCCAAUGUCGGCGAGAAAAUACAAAUAGGCGACGGACCAGAUAAACUCAAAGUCAAUAUAAUUAGCAAGUUACAAAACGAGCAGGCGCGAGGACGGUUGCAGUUUGCCCCUUCUUUCAACAUAGCGUCAUACUCUACAUAUGCCCAAGCCAUCAGUGACGUGCCAAAAGAUGUGAAGUACACUUUCCUAGUUUUUGAGAAUGCUAACUCAACAGUAGGGUCUGAACUUGCACUGGAUGUAAGUGAUUAUGACCAUGUGAGAAUAAAAAGGGUGUAUGAUACAAGUGAGCUGGCUAACAUAGCAGGAAUUCGCCAGUUCCCUGGGCUGGUGCUAGUGGAUAAUAAUGCAAAUGCAACACCCUUCACACCCAAAGGCCAAGCUGCUGAAAAUCUAUUAAAAGAAGUAAAUGCAUAUUUGAGAUCUAAAAAUUAUGUGUUCCCUGUAGAGUACAAACCUACUCCUGAAACUAAUUACAAUGAACAUGGGAAUGAUAAACCAUUACCAAAUGCUGAUGUUGUUUACUACAGUGACUUAGAGAAGACCCUGAAGAACAGUCUACAUACUGAGAUUACAAGAUACAAAACUCUGACUGGUGAACCUUUGCAAGCUUUACUUGAAUAUUUGGAUGUCCUCAUAUUUGCAUUUCCCUUUAGAGGAAAUCUCAGAGAAUUCAUUGUGGAUUUACGUGCAACCAUGGGACGCAAGAACAGUUGGAGUGGAGCGGAAGUGUAUGAUGCAGUAAAGAAUUUAGAAACAUUCCAUGCCCCAGUUUACACAAGCAACUUGGAAUAUGUUAGCUGUAAGGGUAGUCAGCCCAAGUACCGAGGCUACACUUGUGGAUUAUGGACUCUAUUCCACACAUUAACAAUAAAUGCUGCUCAGAAACCAGGGGUGGAGGGCCCUAAAGUUCUGAAAGCUAUGCAUGGAUAUGUCAAACACUUUUUUGGAUGUACUGAGUGUUCAGAACACUUUCAAGCAAUGGCAGCAAGGAACAGAAUAUUUGAUGUAAAAGAGAAUGACAAAGCAGUGUUAUGGCUGUGGAUAUCACAUAACGAAGUAAAUCUAAGACUAGCUGGUGACAUCACUGAAGAUCCUGAACACCCCAAGAUUCAGUUCCCGAGUGCCACAAGAUGUCCUGAGUGUCGCCUGCCACGCGGCGCGUGGAACCUGCCCGCGGUGUACCAGUAUUUACAGUCAGUGUACAGUGCCGGCAACAUCCGCGAUCAGCGGUGGGCCCGCUCUGCCGCGGUGUCGCCGAGCCCCUUCUCCAACCUGGACAUCGGAAUGCUAAGUCUCCUGUACAUAUUUUCUUUUGAUACUAGUAAUGACCAAGUGGGUCAGCUGAUGGUGAGUGAUGAGGAUGGAAGCUGCAAAUUCCCGAUACCAGAGCACUCAUCAACGCGUUAACGGGUUUUAUUAAAAGAAUAGACUCGCUGAUGAAGUUCUUAAAUCUGUAUGUCAAAUGAUCUGGGCGGAACGCGUGUGGUAAACGGGCUAAGGUACAUGGGAUAAGGUGGCAAACACACUAAGAACAAGAACAAGAAUCAAUAAAGGCUAAACUACAGAACUAGUCGUGUAAUUUUGUUGAAUUACUAUGUUGCGAGCAAGUAGUUUCAGGUAUCGGUCGCACUGAGAGCGAUAAAGUUCUGAAGUUAGGCAUUCUUCAUACAUUUUUCGCUCGCCAUUCUUUACAUGAGCAAGCAAGUAGCUUUACGUUAUAGAACAGAAUAAACUUUCUGUUUGUGCUUCGUACGUAUUAAACUUCUUUCUGUGAAAGUCAAUUAAUUUCAUAUUUCUCUCGCUUGCAUAGCCUCGCAUACAAUGUGAAUGGAGUGUGAAUGUUGGCCUCACACACUCAGUACUGGUUACUUGUACUAUGAAACCAGUAAGGUCUCGGAUUCAAUUGCCAGGUUAGAUAAUUAAAAGUAUUUUUUCGUUUUGAAAGAUUCUUGAAUUGGUCAGGAUUUGAAUUUAAAAUUUAUCAUGUGAUGAAAAUAAGCUCAACAAAAGGUCUGAAUUUGUCAUUACAAGAAUCUGGAAAUCUGUACCAAGCACUCUAUCGCUCGCAGCAAGAUCGACUCCUACCUCACGACAAAGUUAGACGGUAUGGACUGUAUUGUAACUAAGCCGUUAUAUUAAGACAUAAUUCAGUCAUGUUACAUCACAUCAUCUUUAUUUUACAACUAUCAUUAAGUAGUUAUAUUGAGGAUCUCAUUGUAAUGCAAACAUGUGACGUCAUAUGUUUUGAAUUCAUUAUUGUCAUGAAAUACUGAAUAAAUUAUUAUUCUGACUCUU